rnacentral:rRNA from 1 species
UACGUAGGGUGCAAGCGUUGUCCGGAAUUAUUGGGCGUAAAGAGCUCGUAGGCGGUCUGUCGCGUCUGCUGUGAAAACUCGGGGCUUAACCCCGGGCCUGCAGUGGGUACGGGCAGACUAGAGUGCGGUAGGGGAGACUGGAAUUCCUGGUGUAGCGGUGAAAUGCGCAGAUAUCAGGAGGAACACCGGUGGCGAAGGCGGGGUCUCUGGGCCGUAACUGACGCUGAGGAGCGAAAGCCGUGGGGAGCGAACAGG